UUACUACAGAAAAUGACUGAGCGGCGAACGGGUGAGUAACGCGUGAGCAAUCUACCUUAGUUACAGGGAUAGCCCGAGGAAACUCGGAUUAAUACCUGAUAUUCUUUACAUUUCGCAUGAAAUCAAAAGGAAAGGUCAGCCGAACUAAGAUGAGCUCGCGUUCUAUCAGCUAGUUGGUGAGGUAAAAGCUCACCAAGGCAACGACGGAUAGCUGGUCUGAGAGGACGAUCAGCCACACUGGGACUGAGACACGGCCCAGACUCCUACGGGAGGCUGCAGCAGGGAAUAUUGCGCAAUGAGCGAAAGCUUGACGCAGCGACACCGCGUGUGGGAUGACGGAUCUAGGUUUGUAAACCACUUUCAGGAGGGAAGAAAAUGACGGUACCUCCACAAGAAGCCCCGGCCAACUACGUGCCAGCAGCCGCGGUAAUACGUAGGGGGCGAGCGUUGUCCGGAUUUAUUGGGCGUAAAGAGCUCGUAGGCGGUUCAACAAGUCGGUCGUAAAAGUUCAGGGCUCAACCCUGAAAUGUCGAUCGAUACUGUUGUGACUAGGAUACGGUAGAGGUGAGUGGAAUUCCGAGUGUAGCGGUGAAAUGCGUAGAUAUUCGGAGGAACACCAAUUGCGAAGGCAGCUCACUGGGCCGCUAUCG
rnacentral:rRNA from 1 species